rnacentral:lncRNA from 1 species
ACGUCAUUUGUUUCUGCCUGCCUCUAUCAACUCUCUUUUCUAAGUCAGAGAAAAACAAUCACGUGGGUCUGUUUCCUUUUGGGUUUCUACUUUUUACUUUGAUCAUGCCAAGCCCAAUUUAGUUUCUUCGAAGCCCAAGCUUGAGAUAGGUUAUGGACCGGGCUUUUAUUGGAUUUUGGACCUUUGGUUCAUGUUUAUUUUUAGAGUCCAGACUUCUCGGGCCCAACGUUGUUGUCUUUGUUAUUCUGGGCUCUGUAGCGUUUCGGCUGGGUGCGCAAGAUACAAUGCCCCCUUGAAUCUGGAUUGUUUGGCCUCGAUUUUUAACGAUUCAGAUUCAAUAAAUUUGGCCAUUAAUGUUGCACGCCACUUUCUUCCGUUUCUGCUAACCCACGUCUGCCACGUUUUGUCUGUUGAGCUAGAGUUCGUGGGAAACUGGGUAAUUAAUAGCUAGUUACUAGCUAGUCAUCAUUACGUGUCCCAUCGUCUUCUUCAUCUUCGGUUUCGAGCCUUUUAAAAGAAUUUCAAACUCAAAGUUCCUGUUUUACUUUGAAACCUAGUUUUUCCUCAGACCUCGACUUUCUCAGUUUUCCCAGAAUUUCCCAGAAUUUUUCAUUCUUCU